UGUUUUACUUAUGUGAUGGUAAAGUAAGUAAGACUGAGCUGCUUUGCAUUGUCACAGCGUUAGCUGUUUUUAUUAUAAACAAUAUAGGUUUAUUUGGGAACAUUCUUGCCAGAAUGAGAUGUUUUUGUUUUUAAAACUUUAUUUGAUGCAGAAAUGAUCCCAUAGACACUAACGUUACUGCUUUCUGGCUUGAGGCCAGUUGGUUUUAGGCACCCUUGGUGGAAAAGGGGUGUCUCUGGCCUGGAUCAGUUUAAAUCUAAUGUACUUCUACAAGUCUCAGCUGUGAGCAAGAAAAAUUGCCCAGGGGAGAGAGAGAAAGCCCUUGAGGGUUUGUUAGAGGCCACAUGUUAUAUGAGUGGAUAAAUGGAGUGGUGUGUUUCUAAUCCAUGAGUCAAACAUCAGUCUGCUGAAUAAUGCAUUUAGAUAUGCUAUAAGAACGAAAAAAAGAAAGAGGCUGAACAGAAGAGAAAAGCAACAACAAAUGAGACCCAAAAAUAUGUUUAUCGUUUGUAACAUGCUUCGAAUUAUCUAGCCUGAUGAAUACUACAUAAACAUCCUCUUAUCAUAUGAACAGAAGAGCCCUUAUUUUCAACGUUCUUACAGAGUCAUUGUUUACUUAGCCUUAAUGACUACAGUCAUGUCCAACACACCCCUCCAUUCCUUGAAUCACAAACUAGAUGCCCUUGAAACAAAGAGAUACACAUUCCAGAAUAAUAUACCCGUGAGUAAUCACAAAAAUUUUGCCAUGGGCUCAUGGACUCCCUGAUGUUUCAGUGCAUUAUGGGGGUUCAACAGCAUCAGAGGUUGUUAUGAGAGUCAGAGCAGAACAAAUAGCCUUCCUAAUGCUAAAGUUAGAAAUACAAUGUGUUUUUCACAUUAAAUAUAUAUAUAUAUGUAUUUUUCCUCAUCUCUUUUUAGCAAAGUGGAGACCAUCAGUGGAGCCAAGAGAGGACCUGGGUGAGGGGGAAUUGGAUUUUGCAGUUGCCGGGCCCUCAUGCUUUUUGAUGCCAAGAAAAGCAACCCAGCUGAACAAAUCAGGAACAUGCCCCCAAAGCUGCAGGGUUCCCCACGGAGACAACCUUUACGCCGCUGAAGUCAGAGGUCGUCCGUUCCAGAGGGAAACAGUGGCGACACCCCAGUGCCUGAGGAGACAGAGGCGUUCAGUAGACUAAUGGGGUCUGACUUCAUCAUUAAGAAGGUGGACAAAUCAUUAUAUACACCCACACAUUCAUUAGAAAGACACAAAUCUGCAGGUCUGCUUACAUUAGUCAGAAAGAAAGAACGAAUUUCAGAUACAUUUUAUUUAAAAGAUCAUUGGCUUUGUUCAUUCAUUAUCAUUUUCACAUUCAUGGAGUAAAGUUUUAUGUUUCUAAAUAAAAUGCAUUAAAAUUUUCCGUAAAGAAAGUCCAUGGAGAUCCACUGUUCCCCCUAAGAAGAGUUACCCCAUCACCCUAAACUUGUCCAUUUAGUGUGAGCAAUUGGAUUAGGCCAUUUGGUUUGUGUAGUGUCAGAGACUAAAUGGAUGGCUAGGCACCAUGAUGGAUGAACAUAGCCAACAAGGCAUCCUUCCAUCUGACAGACCAACAUACAUCAUCUAUUAGCCUCAUUUUUGGCCACUCAGUGGCCACAUCAUGGCCAGAGUAACCAAAUGUGUGACCACAGGGACAGCAGUAUCACAAGUCUGAAUCUUUAACCCUUUAUUGGAGCUCUUCAGCAUAAACCAUUUAAAAUAAUUGCAUUUAAGAUUUUAAUCACAUUUCACAUGUAGGAAACCCUACAUGUUCAAUCAAAUGCAAAAUAUAUGGAGUCGUAAACACAUGGAAGUUUUGAUUUAACAUAGAAAGAUGUUCCAAUGUGAAUUACUUCUGAUGAAUGAUUAGAAUGUCUUUGGAAAAAAACAAACAUCUGGCUAAUGGAUAAAAAGGCAAAUGGGUAAUGAUUAUAAAUCAGAUGGCAAAUUAAAUUCACAUUUAAAAUGAUAAAUUUUUCUUAUUGAUACAUUUUAGAACUAUUUAAAAUACUUUAAAUAUAUUUGCACUUUAAAGUUAUAUAUCAAUGUAUUAUUUUAUGGUUACAUUUUUAAAGAUUAUUAAAAAAAAUACUUUAAAUACAUUUGCACUUAAAACAUAUUAAUGUGUUAUUUUACUGUUAUAUUUUUAAACAUUUAUAAAAAUAAAAUAUAUUCACG
rnacentral:lncRNA from 1 species